CAGAGGUCGGAUGAAAGUGGGGAUGACGUCAAGUCGUUAUGGCCUGUAUAAGUUGGGCUACACAUUUGCUACAAUGAAAAUGUCAAUAUUAUGGUCGCCCUGUAUUGGGUGUCUCGAAUGAACCGUUUUUCUCAGUACGAAUCGCUUUCUGCAAUUUGAAACGCGUGAAGACGGAAUCGCCAGUAAUCGCAAAUCAGCCAAGCUGCGGUGAACAGGUUCUGGAGUUCUGUACAAACCGCCCGUCACGGUCCGGAAGAGGGCUUGCCUUAAGUGCU
rnacentral:rRNA from 1 species